CGGGGGAUAGCGCAGUCCGGCUUAGCGCACUUGAAUGGGGUUCAAGGGGCCGAGAGUUCAAAUCUCUCUCCCCCGA
rnacentral:tRNA from 1 species